GCCCAGAUGGCGGAAUUGGCAGACGCGCUAGACUCAAAAUCUUGUAUCUUCGGAUGUGCGGGUUCGACCCCCGCUCUGGGUACCA
rnacentral:tRNA from 1 species